AUGGAAGGAUACAGAGAGGCCAGAGAGUUUGCUAUCAAAUUCUCAAGCAGCAAGAAGAUAGCUAGCCUAAAUGAAUCAAGACAUGAACAGUGUCGAGAAGUUACGGAUGCAGAAGUGCAGCAAGUAUCGCCUCUAUUUUUUUUAUCUCAAAUCAACCGCAGAAAAAACUACUGGAUAAUCAUCUUCUUGCCACUUUAUAAUUGGCUUACUGCUAUGAUCCUGGUGUUAUUUGCUAUGAGAAAAGAACGAGAGGUUCAAUGUGCACCUCAUAUCAUCACAUCAAAUGGAAUAAUUGAAUAG
rnacentral:rRNA from 1 species